UUGUCGUUAACUCAUCCUCUUCUGUUUUAGUGUAGUUCUAUUGUACAUUCAAAUUUCUCAGCUUUAUGUUGUAUUUAUUGUAAAACCGUCUUAUUUUUGGUAAAUAAAUUUUACAUUCAUAU
rnacentral:sRNA from 1 species